rnacentral:snoRNA from 1 species
UUCAUUGUUGUCAAUGAUGUAUUCUUGUUGGAACUGAAGCUAAGUGAUCGCACACAAAUAUUCGUCACUACCACUGAGACGGCAAUGAA